UACGAAGGGUGCCAACGUUGCUCGGCAUUAUUGGGCGUAAAGCGCACGUAGGCGGCUUGGCAAGUCGGAUGUGAAAUCCCUCGGCUCAACCAAGGAAGUGCAUCCGAAACUGCUGAGCUUGAGUACUUAAGAGGAUCGCGGAAUUCCCGGUGUAGAGGUGAAAUUCGUAGAUAUCGGGAGGAACACCAGUGGCGAAGGCGGCGAUCUGGGAAGAUACUGACGCUGAGGUGCGAAAGCGUGGGGAGCAAACAGG
rnacentral:rRNA from 1 species